rnacentral:sRNA from 2 species
AUCCCACAGACUCACGAAGAAGCCAAAAGAAAAAGGGUUUCGAAUGGAUGGAACUGCAAUUCGUAGGAAGGGCACACGGUCCCCCAAGUCCAGCAUCGUCCCAGAAGAAGGGUAACUACCGCGUAGAUGCGCACGAACAUGGCGUGCUAACUAGUGUCUGGUCCAUACGCAGUUCAUCUAACCUACUGUACAUUUGACUGCUUCGACGUGGCUCCCGCCAAACGAAGGAGACCGGACAUCCAGUCAACGCUUCUCCUCGUUCCCACCACCAGAACCAAAUCCUUACCCGUCUCGUCUCCGCAUGCACGACGACCUUUCCCUCCGCAGGAUUCUUGGACAAACUAAACAACAAUAAUAAUGACAAUAAGCAUGAUUCUGAAGGAGGGGACACUUCCAGUUUCACUCUUUCGCAGCCCUGCCCUUUGGUUUAGUUUACCAAUCGGUUUUCCCAAGGAACUUUGCUUGUUCACCCAUUUUACUGUCGCCUCUUUCGGAAACUAACUCGGAGGCUAUAUAUAUAUAAACCUUCGUGCGAAUUUGCAUUUUGAAAAUGAAUAAUGAAUUAAAAGCGAACCCAUAGUUUGUAUCGUAUUUUGAAGCCUUCUCUGGCGACCUGACUAUUUCAUUUGUUAAAACUAGAAUUCGCUGUAUAUUCAAGUGGGAGGUGCUCGUAGCAAAAGAGGAGGAGGCGGAGGAGAAGCGCGCACAGAGAUACGAACUGUCGCAUUCAUCUGGGCGGGUACAUUAGUUGACGAAACCUACACAGCCGUCGCAUUCUUGCAAACUGACAUCCGUCAGGAUGGAAUCGCGAGUAGGAAUACUGCUGGAUUUAAUGCGA